GGGAGAUAUGAUGGUGUGAAACUCAAGGACAAGGCUGCUCCUGGUGGCCCAGGCUCUGGGCAAGCGCAGCAGGCCUGAACCCUGGGCUUCCUUCAUUCCCACACCCAUUAAUGCAGACGAGGGGCCUGAGGAUAACAGUCAUCCCAGCACUAGCGGAGCUCCAGUCAUGCCCAUUUAACAGAUGACGACGCUGAGGCUCAGAGGUGGGGAGUGACCUGCCCAGGAUUAUUCAGCAAGGACGUGGCAGUCAGGACUUGAGCUGGUGUCUCCAGACUCCAAAUCUAGUACUCCUCCUUCUCCCGCAUGCUGCCUGUCACAUGCCUACAUGCUGGGCUCUGUGCUGGGGUCGACAACUUAAAUGAGACCAGCCCCUGCCCUUGAGGCAAGGCUGGGAUUUCUGUGCCUGUAGUGGGAGUUACGUGCUCUGCUGAUGGCAGGCUCUGGUCUGUCUCUGUGGUCUCCGGGGUUGGGACGCUUCCCUGCCCUUUCUUUCUGGCAGAUGAGGCCCCUCUGCUGGUGGAGGGCAAUCAGAGGUGAGCCAACUUCCAGCUCUUUGUCUCUGCUGGGUGUCUUUGGGCCCCAGCCAAACGAUGCAGGCAUCAGUGGCUGAGUCUGAGCCACUAAGCAUCUGUAUCCCGUGUGCUAAGCACAGGGCCAGGUACAAGGUAUCUGCCCAGUUCCUACCCACCCAUUAACAGCCAGCCUGAAUAUCCUAAGAUACCGACCACCCCCUCACCUGGUUCUUAUGGCACUGGGGGCAGAUCUGCAUGAACCUUUUCCUGAUCACUCUUGUCCCCCACUCAGGACAGCCCAUCCCUCUCCUCUGCGCCCUGAGCACACCCCUCACCCUGGGGGCCCUUUCCUGCUUAUAUCUGUCUCCUUACAAGCAGGUGGGAUCCUGGAGGGAAGGGGCCACAUCAUUGUCAUCUGUCUAUUUCCUGUGUCUAGCUCAGGGCCCCUGGCACAGAGGAGGGAGAGGCUCAGGAAAUGUUUGCUAAAUUAAUAAUAAUAACACGAAUAAUAGCAAACAUAUCAUACCUGCGAUGUGCCAGGCUGUUUUAGGCAGUUGGCAUACAUUAACUUAUGUAGUCUCUACAUGGUCUGUACUAUUAUUAUUCCCAUUUUGUAAAUGAAGACACAGAAGCACAGAGGAGGGAGUAAGCAAUUUACCCAAGGUCACCCAGGCGAUAAGUGGCAAAGCCUGGAUUUGAACGAGGUGAUCUUGCUCCAGAGCUGGGCUUUACCCACCCCACUGCCCUGCCUUGAGGGAGGGAGGAGGAGUUAAGGGUUAUUUUGCCAGCCACCUUUUUGGGAAGCACCCCUUCCCUGGAGCUAUUUGUCGGCUCCAAAUCCUUUCUGAUUCACCUCUGCCUCCCCAGAAAAGGUGUUUCAAUACUCCUUGUGCAGACAAAGGGAAUGAGGCACAGAGAGGCGAGGUGACUAGCCCAAGGCACACAGCUGGCAAGUCAUGGGGCUGGGACUCAAGCCCAGGCUAUGGCCUCGCAGCUGCUCCGCCUCAGCAGCAAGGGCUGGCUCUGUCUAUCCUUUCUCCAGGUCCUAGGGAAGAGGAUGGGAUGCAAAGGAGGUUGUUUAUCCAGGAUUGAAACUGAUGAGACACUGCAGUGUGUAGGCCAAGAGGCAGACGGGCCCGGGUACACGACCGAGCAAGUCACUCAGUAUCUCUGAACCUCAGUUUCUUCUUCUAUAAAAUGCAGACAAUGAAAGGAGCCCCCAGCCCGUGUGGUUAUUGUGACAAUGAACUGAGAAUAUAUCCAAGGCACACAGCAAGGGCAGCACGCAUGGGGAUAGGCAGAGUGGCCGCCACUUUUUGUGCCAGACCUCGGGCCCCCAGGCCCAACUGCUGGUUUAGCUCAGCCCAGGGACUCGCCGAGCCGGGGCCCCAGCCCCUGCCUCCCUCUGCCAGGCAGGCCUGGCCUGUCACGCAUAAGCUGCCAAUCCCUCCGAGACCUCUGCCCGCAACAGCAACAAUAAGGGAAGAUUAUCAGCAGAAACACCCGGUGAUUUGGCUUAGCAGCUUCUGGGAAACCGAUCAGAGGAAGAAAUUGAAUUGGACUUGGCUGGCUUGACAGAUAUACUGGCUGUGGGGCUUGGGUGCCAAGUGACUCAACUGGCAGAAGGUCAUGGGUGAGGGCGGCACUCCCACAGGCUGGGCUGGGUGUGUCUCCCUGGGGGUCUGACUGCUUUGCCUGCAGAGGCCCCUGCACAGCACAGCACUGGUUGGCCAAGAGACCCCAGUCUCCGAGGCGGGGAGGCUGUGGCUGGGGGAAGUUCUCCAGGGCUCCUAGGGAAAACAGCUGUGAGGACCAGCAGGCAAAGGGGUAGAGCAUGGAGUGGAAGUGACAACAGCAGAGGCACAGAGUCCAGGGAAAGGUUUCUGAGCCAUCCAGGGGAUUUGCUUUCUUCUGCUGAUGGGAGAGAUGGAAUAAAACCUGCCUGCUGGAGGGGGAAGCAGAAGGGACCCAUGGCUGACAGCAUACAUCCUCCACGCACUCAGUGGGGAAUGAAGCUGCCACUGCCCCAAGACACAGGCUGGAGACAAGGCAGUUUUGGCCAAACCCUCUUCAACUCCAGUAGCUGGGAAAGAGCUGGCCACCCCUGGUAGUGAGGAAUGGGGUGCAAGAGCCAGGAAGACUCAGGUGAAAAGCCACGCUCCAUCUGUGGCAAUGUGAACAGGAGUAAGGGACUCGAGCUCCACGGGCCACCAUCUCCUUGCUUAUGUAAUGGGGUGGUUUCUUUCUGACUGCCCUGCAUGGAAGCCAGCACUAAACUAAGUACAAGAGAUGCAGCAGACAACAAGAACAUCCAGCCCACGUCCUCAUGGUGCUGACAGCCUAGCUGGAGGGGACAGUGACCAAGUGAUCUCUGAAGGGCCCAGCACAGAGGUCCCCAUGCUGACCGUAAGCCACCGAUGGGGUGAUACUGUACACAGACAGUGUACAUUUGAAAGAACUCCCAAGGGGGUCAGACUUGGCCCAGCCCGGAAGCCUGCAUGUGCUGUUCUUCCUAUCUGGGUGCCUCUCUCUCUCUUCCUGUCCAUGGUUAACAUUUUCAUUAUGGCUGACAAAGAGCUUUACUUCUCAUCCCCCAUGCCCACAUCCUCCACAAAACUAGAUGCCUUCUUCUGGACAGCCUGCUCUGUCUGUCUUUAGCAUCUCAUUGUCAUCCGGUCACCCAAAUACCUCUCACCCAAAGAACCCCAGAAGCAGAACUCACGGCGGCCUGAUGGCACACUGGAUUCUACAAUAGCUUCUCUUUUCAGCAUGUUGGACCUGCCCACAUUAACUUCCCCAUUGUCUUGAUUUCCCCAAGUUACAAACUCUAUAGGCUGUGCCACUGCUGUCUGCAGCUCCCAUGGCACCGAUUCCAGGGCCUCGCACUUAGUAGACACACAGUAAACACUGCCGACUUAACAAGUGAGUUCAUAAUGUGACCGCUAAGCUAGCUCUCGGAAAGGAUGUAGUGGGGAGGCCAGAAUGGACACUGAGAGACCCCAGUCAGAGUCAAGGCCCUGCCACAUCUAGCAAGGUACCACCUCCACCAGCUUCACUUUCCCUGUCUCAAAGAUGGGGUAAUGUGGGAGGGACGCUAUCACCGGUGAAAGUUCUUUCAAAUGCAUGGUGCCACUCGAGCCACAUGAUGACCCAGUGAUGUGGUGGUUAAUUCCAAGUUCCUGUCCCACCAGCAGGGGUAUGGCAUGAUCUGCUCACCUACCCUCACCUAUGCUGAACAGGACUUGGGAAAAACACUCAAUAUUUUAAGAGUGUGUUGGCCGGGCACCGUGGCUCAAGCCUGUAAUCCCAGCACUUUGGG
rnacentral:lncRNA from 1 species